CGUCCUGCCUCUAUAUAAACGACAGCGUAAGGAACCAUAAGCACGACGAAAAGAAGAAUAGGAGAAGGAAAUAGUACUAAACAACUUCUUCAUGGCUCUCAUCCAGAUCAACGCAAAGGUUUUUUGCUUGAUGGCUCUUUUGAUGAUCUCAACCUCCUUUUUGACGAGCCAAGCAUUAGGAAGGAACAUAGGUUUGGAAAUCUACCGCGAACCCUACAAGUUCCCUGGCGGAUGCGCAGCUGUAGAUUGUAAUCGUGCUUGCCAGCGAGACACGCACAGUGCUGGGCAGUGCCAUAAGGAUGAUGGUGGUUGCUGGUGCGAUAAAUCCCCUUCGAAAUGACCGAGAAUAGAAGUUAGGAAAUAACGUCUGUUGAGAGAAUAAGAAUUUGCCUUCUAUUCCUUUUGCACCCCGUGGAAAAAUAAGUCUUUCGUGAUAUAAUUGAAUAAUUUUAUUUGAACCGUA